rnacentral:tRNA from 4 species
AGCGGGGUAGAGGAAUUGGUUGACUCGUUAGGCUCAUGAUCUAAAGAUUGCAGGUUCGAAUCCUGCCCCCGCCU